CAUAGGUUAAUGAGGCGAACCGGGGGAACUGAAACAUCUAAGUACCCCGAGGAAAAGAAAUCAACCGAGAUUCCCCCAGUAGCGGCGAGCGAACGGGGAGGAGCCCAGAGCCUGAAUCAGUGUGUGUGUUAGUGGAAGCGUCUGGAAAGGCGCGCGAUACAGGGUGACAGCCCCGUACACAAAAAUGCACAUGCUGUGAGCUCGAUGAGUAGGGCGGGACACGUGGUAUCCUGUCUGAAUAUGGGGGGACCAUCCUCCAAGGCUAAAUACUCCUGACUGACCGAUAGUGAACCAGUACCGUGAGGGAAAGGCGAAAAGAACCCCGGCGAGGGGAGUGAAAAAGAACCUGAAACCGUGUACGUACAAGCAGUGGGAGCACAGAGCAAUCUGUGUGACUGCGUACCUUUUGUAUAAUGGGUCAGCGACUUAUAUUCUGUAGCAAGGUUAACUGAAUAGGGGAGCCGAAGGGAAACCGAGUCUUAACUGGGCGUUAAGUUGCAGGGUAUAGACCCGAAACCCGGUGAUCUAGCCAUGGGCAGGUUGAAGGUUGGGUAACACUAACUGGAGGACCGAACCGACUAAUGUUGAAAAAUUAGCGGAUGACUUGUGGCUGGGGGUGAAAGGCCAAUCAAACCGGGAGAUAGCUGGUUCUCCCCGAAAGCUAUUUAGGUAGCGCCUCGUGAAUUCAUCUCCGGGGGUAGAGCACUGUUUCGGCAAGGGGGUCAUCCCGACUUACCAACCCGAUGCAAACUGCGAAUACCGGAGAAUGUUAUCACGGGAGACACACGGCGGGUGCUAACGUCCGUCGUGAAGAGGGAAACAACCCAGACCGCCAGCUAAGGUCCCAAAGUCAUGGUUAAGUGGGAAACGAUGUGGGAAGGCCCAGACAGCCAGGAUGUUGGCUUAGAAGCAGCCAUCAUUUAAAGAAAGCGUAAUAGCUCACUGGUCGAGUCGGCCUGCGCGGAAGAUGUAACGGGGCUAAACCAUGCACCGAAGCUGCGGCAGCGACACUGUGUGUUGUUGGGUAGGGGAGCGU
rnacentral:rRNA from 1 species